ACCCUUCAGGUCAUGAGCACGAUGAUUGGGGGUUCAUGCGGUAGGAAUGAGGUGUUUCUCCUUCAGUCCUUGUUAUAAUGUGGGAAUAUUACCUGUCUGACC